CAGCUGUCGCCUGCGAAGCGCGGAGCGGAGCACAGCUCAGAACAGCACUGGCUCUUCGCCUGCGUCUGACAGGCAGGGAUAAGAUCACAGCCGCGGGCGGCUACUACUGUCACCCGGAGCGGGCCCCUCAUUGGAGCCUAUAAGAUUUGAUGAUCCUAAAGCAGCUAUAUAUCUACAGACAAACCAAACAAACUUUAACAAGAAAGUUACUAGCCAUGGAUGGUGAGUGCCAAGGUAGGCAAGUUUUAACCACACACCUUCCUCGUAUGACUUAUCCUUUGUUGUGAACUGGAAAAUACCAAGUGCUUCAGCAAAAAAUGGUAUCAGGUUAUAAGGUAUCAAGCAAGAGUACAGGAGGUUGGCAAGGGGCUGAAAACACUACCAGCAUGUGUUCCUGGGAAGGGAGCGGGAACGCCAGACUGAGCCUCAUAGCAAUCUACUGUCCACACCCUCAUUCCAUGGUUCCUGUGUAUAGGAUGGCUUUUCUGUUCCCUUGGCCUCUGUCUACUCCAUUCCCUACUAAAGAAGUAUAAAAGAACUAUCCAGAUUUUUUGCUGAAUGUACUCCUACAAUUAUGAUUGGGCAGCCUCGCUGAUGUGAACACUAAUGUUUCCGACAUGGUUGUGUUAUUAAAAAACCUGCUGAAUGACUGUUUUUUGGGGUAAUGAAUCAUAUUUGCUGUAAUCAGGUCAACCAAGAAUUUCACAAUGAGAUUGUACAGCAUGCACAGCACCUAAGAGAAGCAGCAAUGUUUACGGGUUAGGGUAAAAGACACAGACAAAUAGCUUUGAUAGCCUACAUACGUAUGUUGGCCUACAUAUGUAGCCAAGCUAACAGGUCAAGAUUUUCAAUCCUCCGUGCUUAAAGUUAGGUCCAUAUUUAGGCACCUAAACAAAAAAUGCCUGAUAUUUUUUCAACGACAAUACAUUUGUGAUAGAUAUUAAGUUGUAGAAGGAUGGAAACCAUAAAAACUGUUCUACUGUGGUGUGAUAAAUGCUGCAGGUGCAUGGGAUCUUCAUAGACUACUGCUGUGCUGUGUAACUGGUGGCCCAUAGGCUGAAUGUGGCUCCCAAUGGGUUAGGGUGCCAGUCUCCCUUUUGCUCUCCAGUUGCUGUGGCUGGAGUCCUCCUUUGGCUUCCACUAUGUGCCCCUGCCCCUGUGGGGAGCCUGUGAGGCUGAGAGAGCUUGUGGCUAGGGAGGUCAGAGGGAGCUUGUACCCCAUGAAUGCAGAGGCGCCACUGCAGUGCAGGGCAGGGGGGCAGGCAGCACAUCUGCAUGGUGCAGGGCGUGGGGCAUGUGGCUUAGCUCACCUGGCCCAGUGGGAGGCCAUGUGGCUUGGGAGGCUCACCAUAUUGGGGAUGUGUGCAUGGCUCAUGAAGCUUGUGCAGUGCAUGGAGGUGAGGUAGUGUGGCUAAGGGAGUGCAUGUGGUGCAUCAGGGAUUGAUGCGAUACAGCAUGGGUGGGAGCUAUACAGUGCUGUGAGCAGCCCCCAUAGCAUGUGGCUGGGGGGCCUAUGGCCCCUGACCACUCAGAAAUUGGGCAGACCUGAACUAGUGUAUCAACAGGCAAUUUAUGUGUCUUGUUUUCCUAACUCCCUGGGCACUGGGCAGGUUUCUUAUGGAAUCCCUGAGAGAAGUUAAUUAAUACAGAUUCCCAAUACAGAUUGUAUUUUUCAGGUUUGUCCCAUGUGGAAAAUAUGACUGACUCACCUGGUUCAAGAGACCUAGCAAAGAAAGGCGUUCACCCUGUAUAAAGUGACCUACAGAUAUGAGAGGAGGUCAAGCUCAUGGGAAGAAAGAACUGACAAAUUACAUACAGUAUCAGCCAAGAUCCAACACUGAUGAUAGAUAAACCCUAGUAAAUUCAGUAUGCAUGUAGACUGUUUACUGUUGUUUUCUCUAUAAUGCAUUUGUCCUAAAAUAAAAUGUCCUGUGCUUUGUCACAGCCAGGUGGUUGACACUGUCUUUGGCCCAAAGUGACAACAUAUUUGCAGGUGCUGAACUAACUCAAAACUAGUGGGUUAAUAGGAGUGAAUUAUGAGAGGUCUAUAGCCCUAAAGUAGCAUUCUGGAGGAAGAUGUACAUACUCCGCUCCUAUCACACCAAGAGAUUUGAGGCCCGGGAGCACCCCUGGGAUGGUUCCAAAGAGUCUUAGACCCUCAGAUUUUAAUAUUUUUGUCAUCUGUAGAUUCUUCUAUUUUUUAUCAUUAUGAUAAACUGCCAUUCCCAAUACAUCUGUCCAACAAUAGGAUGCAAAACUAGACUUGAGUCUACACACCAUCUGCUUACAUGUCUUAAUUUUGACAGUAAAAGGAAAUAACAUAAAUGCAUGACUGCUAUUAUUAGGGUGCUUAUUAUAUUCAAACAAACAAGGGAUGUAGUCACAGCUGAAUGUAGAGAUGUUGAUGCCCUAUUAGCUGAAUCUAAAGCAGCUUCUUCUAUCCUUCAGUAAUGGCUCAUCACAGCACCUCCCAUAUGGGCAGCAGCUUGCUAAUACCCUCCAUUCACAGCUGUCCUGUGUAAUGGCAGCAUGUGGCUUCCAGUCAUCUUGAUUAAGGCAGCUUUUCAGACCAACUAGCUAGAGGCUUUGGUAUGUUGCAUUAUUUUGUCUAAGUGGCUUCUACAACUUCUGGGCAACUUGUUAUUUCUGUUAAUGUGAAAUAAAGUUUCUGGAUAAAUCCCUUUGUGUUUUAACAAGAACUGAUUCACAGAAAGUAAACAACAAAGGUCUAUUUACUUAUUAUAAAUUAUUUUGGCUUUGUGACAGCCAAGACCCUAUGUUUUCAUGAGGAAACAAGAUCUAACAUUUGUGACAUUUGAAUAUUUCCCGCUUUCUUUGGUGCUCCAGUGCAGGCUGGCAAACCUGCUGCAGGUUCAGGUAAUAUAAAAUUAUGGAAGAUUUUAUUUAACGGAAUAUGAAAACACUGUGAUAACUCCAAUAUUCCCUGUAGUAUUUAAUUUGGCUUCAGUUCAUUUUACACUUCUCAAAAACUUUCAGUCUUCACUGUGCUGAAAAUCUGUCUUGUAGAAGUUAUCAGAGGAGAAGACUGAUAUAUUUUAGCAUUUGGUUAAAGGGGCGCCUUGGUAUUUGGUAAGACAUAGGUGGUUUGGAAUUGGGGAAAACCAUCCUCUGGAAGUUUUGCUAAAAGAAUUAGAAGUGACAUAGUUAUUAAUUUUGAUUUUUAAAUUUAUGGCCAUUAGAAUAUUUUUAGGCUUUGUACAGACAAUGGGGAAGCUUAAAAUAGGAGACUAGCAUUGACCAGUGGUUAAUGUGUAGAUAACUUUAUUUAUGGGCUUAGAAAUAUUAGUUUUUAAAAAAACCCACAAAUGAUUAGUCAGUGCAUAGGCACCUAAUUAUAGCUAAUAACACAUAAUAACAUGUGAGAGCUCACACACUGAUCCUCCAACCAGCACUGAGUCAAUGCCUAUGGACUACUUCCACAAUGGGAUUGUCACAGUAGCCAUAUUAUAUGUAAUUAGUAGCAAUCAUAAGCACUGUAGAUAUCUCCCAUGUCCUAAAUACUAUUAUUCUAGCCUCUCUAGGUAUUUUCAAUAGUAAUUCCACUCUGCACUCUCUGUGACUUUAUGUGGAAUUACAUUCUGAAAGAGAAGGUUAAGGUUGUGUCAUUUUGUGUCAGGCACAUAAAAAUUAGAAAAUGCCAAUAUUGAGAAGAAGAUAACCUGUGCAAUUUUAAGUCAAAUGCCUCGCUCUUUAUAAUACAGUUCUAAAUAAUGCUAUUACAUACACUUUUUCACAGCUCCAGUCCAUGUGUGAUUUUUUUCCCCACAUUGUACUUGCUCAUUAUCCCUACCUCCACACAGAGUGCACGAGAGAGAAGCUCCGAGUUACCCACACUGAUGCUUCAACAGCAGCUUGAAGGAAUAUUGCAAGAAAUGUCCUGGCUAGCUGCUGCAACUCUAAGAUAGAGGGUGCUCAGUGCAGAAAGAGUCUUUAGCAAAUUCAGGUGCCAAAAUAUACCUCUGAGAAUGUGAACACUUUUGCAGAGGUCUGUAAUUUGGGCAAACCUUUGUAGGGACCACAAAUGGUACAUUCAACAUAUUUGCUAAAUUUCAAGUUACUACCUCAAGGCACUGCUUUGUAACAGAUUGGGGAAUUCUUUUUAAUAUAGGCAAAACAAUGUAUUCUCUUUAAACUCUUUCCUGAAAAUGGCUAAAUUAGCUUAAUUAAAAUUCCCCCUUCCCCUGGUCUCCAUCCCUCUAAAAAGAUGUCGGAAACUGGAAAGUGGCAUGGAAACCUAAAAUGUUUAGCAGAUUUCUAAGUAGUUUAAGUCACUGUUUUGUACUGAAAAGUGUAAGACACUGUUUACUAUAAGAAUUCCUAUCUGCCCUCCCUAAAACAAAAAAAAAAAAGGAUUUUUACCAAAGCUGAUACUUGUAAUGACAUGUCACCCUCACUGUGCUUGUACCUCUUUUUAUUCACCAGUCCUGAGCAUUUAUUUGUAUGACU